CAGCCCUCCUCCCUUCCGCUUCUCCCUCCUCCCCCUCCCUAGCUCCUCCAUCUUCUCGUUCAUAUUCUCCUCCAUCUUCUCUUCGUAAAUGAGAAAAAGAGAUGGUGUGACCCUUUGGAAACACGGAUUUCACAGCAGGUGCAAGUGACAAAGGCAUGACACACGGGGAUGCCCACGUAAAAAUGUCACCCAGACACAGAAAAAGAAGGACAACAGAACUCCCUUCAGACAUGAGUCAUUGGUUUUCUAUGGGACACUACUCAGCUCAAGUUUAUGGUGGUGUAGGGGCAUUGAAUUUGCGAUUUUGGAGCUACAGAACACUGCUCAGUCCUGGCUUAUGGUGGUGCGUGAGGACUGAAUCUGGAACUUUGGAAACCCAGGCAUGAGAGUCUCUUUGUAUAACCAUUAUGCUAUCUACCCCCACCCACCCGAGCUGAAUAUUUUAUCCACUGCAUCACCUCCCAAGCCGCCACACUGAUAUCUUGUACUGAAAGUCAGGAAUACAGAGAGGUGUGGUUUUGCUCUUGUUUGACCUGUUCUCCCUUUCUCUCUCUCUCUCUCUCUCUCUCUCUCUCUCUUUCUCUCUCUCCCCCUCCCUCCCUCCCUCUCUUACUUGUCUAUCUUAAUUUUUGUGUGUUUCUUUAUCAAAUAGACAGAGAUAAAUUGAGAGGGAAGAGGGAGAUAGGGAGAUGAAGAGACCUGUAGCACUGUUCUACCAUUUGUGAAGCUCCCGCCAACUCCCGACAGGUGGGGACCAGAGGUUUGAAUCCAGGUCCUUGCACAUGGUAACGUGUGCAUUCAACGAGGUGCUCCACCGCCCAGCCCUUCCCUGUCUCUACUUUUAAAAGAAAUGAAAAGAAUAGUUUGAAAGGGCCCUGAGUAGGCCAGCAAAACAGCUCACUUGUAUAGUGCAUUGCUUUGCCUCAUGGGUGACCCAGGUUCAAAUCCAGCCCCCAACACAUUGAAGGAAGCCACAGUGCUGUGUGGUCACUUUCACUCUCUCUUUCUCUGUGCAUUUCUUUCUCUCUCUCUCUCCUCCCCAAAAGUCAAACAUAGUGUGUGUGUGUGUGUGUGUGUGUGUGUGUGUGUGUGUGUGUUUGAGAGAAGUGGUGUUUGUGGUAUGGGGAGCAACCAUAGAAAGCCCCCUGUGUGCGGGUCCUGCUCACACCCUGACUGUCCCCCACUUCUGUUGGUAGUCUCUGUGUAGCACAUGCCCAAACCCCAGCCACCCAGAAGGAAAGGUGCCAAUCACACAGUCUGGGCACAGGGAGUGAGCCAGCCAGCCAUCCAGAUCAGUCUAGGGGAGAAGAGACACACAUCCCCCAUCACCAUGCAAGUUCAAGGGUCACCAGCCGGCCUUGGAAAGCAGCUCUGGGCUUGUUCUAGCAACACCUUUUGGGAGAGUCCAUCUUUUUGGCCAAGUGGACUCUUUCAAAAUAAUCAGGAGGACCCCAUAACAUAUGCUGGGGAGGUGGGAGUAGGGGAGCCAACUAUGGUGUUGACUUCAUUUCUACACUCUGGUAAGUCUGGAUUCCUAGGUUUCAUCAGUUCAAACAAAUCCUACGACCCACAAAGUUCUAGCUGAAAAAAGUCAGGUGAGGGCCUGGUGAGAUAUUCAACUUGGGAGGGAGCCUGCUCUGCCUUGUGUCUGACUGAGGUUUGAGUCUGGCCCCCACCACAUUGGGGGAAGUUCUGAUGCCUUUUCAAGUCAGAAGCAGAGAGAGUUUGAAAGAGACCACAGAACGAAAGCUUCCUUCAGUGCAGUGAGGGCAGGACAUAAGCCCGGGUGGUGCACAUGGAAAAUCAUCUCCCUAUAGAAGUGAGCUAUUAAACCAGUCCACAUCUUUCUAUUACAAAAAAAAAAAAAAAAUCCGGCUUAAGGAUCCCAGUUUGAGCCUCCGGCUCCCCACCUGCAGGGGAGUUGCUUCACAGGAGGUGAAGCAGAUCUACAGGUGUCUAUCUUUCUCUCCCCAUCUCUGUCUUCCCCUCUUCCCUCCAUUUCUCUCUGUCCUAUCCAUCAAUGACAACAACAAUAAUAACCACAACAAUGUUAAACAACAAGAGGAACAAAAGGGAAUAAAUAAAUAAAUAGAAAAAAAAAUUAGCUCAGAGCAGGGAAGCCCCAGGGGCAACAAUAUUUAAAAAAAAAAAGUCAAGUGGACUGGGGCAUGGUGUAAUGGAUAAAGAAAGUAUUGUACUCUGAAUCAUUUGUACUAUGAAUCAUGAUGCC